rnacentral:rRNA from 1 species
CGCUAGCGGUAGGCUUAACACAUGCAAGUCGAGGGGUAAGGUUCCGCUUGCGGAACACACGACCGGCGCACGGGUGAGUAACGCGUAUGCAAUCUGCCCAUAGCUGGAGCAUAGCCCGGAGAAAUCCGGAUUAAUACUCCAUAACAUCAUGAUAUCGCAUGAUAUUAUGAUUAAAGCUCAGGCGGCUAUGGAUGAGCAUGCGUGACAUUAGCUUGUUGGUGAGGUAACUGCUCACCAAGGCAACGAUGUCUAGGGGGUCUAAAAGGAUGAUCCCCCACACUGGUACUGAGACACGGACCAGACUCCUACGGGAGGCAGCAGUGAGGAAUAUUGGUCAAUGGGCGAAAGCCUGAACCAGCCAAUCCGCGUGCAGGAUGACGGCCCUAUGGGUUGUAAACUGCUUUUAUACGAGAAGAACCCUCCCGACGUGUCGGGGGCUGACUGUAUCGUAAGAAUAAGCAUCGGCUAACUCCGUGCCAGCAGCCGCGGUAAUACGGAGGAUGCAAGCGUUAUCCGGAUUUAUUAGGUUUAAAGGGUGCGUAGGCGGACUAGCAAGUCAGUGGUGAAAUCCUGCAGCUUAACUGUAGAAUUGCCAUUGAUACUGUUGGUCUUGAGUUUAGUUGAGGUAGGCGGAAUGUGUGGUGUAGCGGUGAAAUGCUUAGAGAUCACACAGAACACCGAUUGCGAAGGCAGCUUGCUAAGCUACAACUGACGCUAAGGCACGAAAGCGUGGGGAGCGAACAGGAUUAGAUACCCUGGUAGUCCGCGCCGUAAACGAUGAUCACUCGCUGUAUACCCGUUAGGGUAUGUGGCCAAGCGAAAGCAUUAAGUGAUCCACCUGGGGAGUACGUCGGCAACGAUGAAACUCAAAGGAAUUGACGGGGGCCCGCACAAGCGGUGGAACAUGUGGUUUAAUUCGAUGAUACGCGAGGAACCUUACCUGGGCUUAAAUGUAGAAUGCAAUCCAUGCGAAAGCGAGGACCUCCUUCGGGACAUUUUACAAGGUGCUGCAUGGUUGUCGUCAGCUCGUGCCGUGAGGUGUCGGGUUAAGUCCCAUAACGAGCGCAACCCUCAUCGUUAGUUACCAGCGGAUAAUGCCGGGGACUCUAGCGAGACUGCCACCGUAAGGUGAGAGGAAGGUGGGGAUGACGUCAAAUCAGCACGGCCCUUAUGUCCAGGGCUACACACGUGUUACAAUGGCCGGUACAAAGGGCAGCUAUCUGGCAACAGAAUGCUAAUCUCGAAAACCGGUCUCAGUUCGGAUCGAAGUCUGCAACUCGACUUCGUGAAGUUGGAAUCGCUAGUAAUCGCGCAUCAGCAACGGCGCGGUG